UACGUAGGGGCAAGCGUUGUCCGGAAUCAUUGGGCGUAAAGAGCGCGUAGGCGGCCCUGUAAGUCCGCUGUGAAAGUCAAGGGCUCAACCCUUGGAUGCCGGUGGAUACUGCAGGGCUAGAGUCCGGAAGAGGCGAGUGGAAUUCCUGGUGUAGCGGUGAAAUGCGCAGAGUAUCAGGAGGAACACCGAUGGCGAAGGCAGCUCGCUGGACGGUACUGACGCUGAGCGCGAAAGCGUGGGAGCAAACAGG
rnacentral:rRNA from 1 species